rnacentral:rRNA from 1 species
AUUGAACGCUGGCGGCAGGCCUAACACAUGCAAGUCGAACGCGUGGCGGACGUGUGAGUCAUGUCUGUGAACCUCCCUUAUGGCUGGGGUUAACUCCUGGAAACGGUAGCUAAUACCGCUUACCAUCAGCUUUUCCCAGAUUGGAUUGGCUUGUUGGUGGGGUAACGGCUCACCAAGGCGACGAUCCCUAGCUGGUCUGAGAGGAUGACCAGCCACACUGGAACUGAGACACGGUCCAGACUCCUACGGGAGGCAGCAGUGGGGAAUAUUGCACAAUGGGCGAAAGCCUGAUGCAGCAAUGCCGCGUGUAUGAAGAAGGCCUUCGGGUUGUAAAGUACUUUUAGCGGGGAGGCGGUACCCGAAGAAGAAGCACCGGCUAACUCCGUGCCAGCAGCCGCGGUAAUUC